rnacentral:rRNA from 1 species
UUCAAAGAGUGCGUAAUAGCUCACUGGUCGAGUGAUCCUGCGCCGAAGAUUUCCGGGGCUAAAACUUACUACCGAAGCUACGGCAUCAGUAAUGAUGGGUAGGGGAGCUUCCCAUACGGGUUGAAGCAUGACCGUAAGGACAUGUGGACAGUAUGGGAGUGAGAAUGUUGGCAUGAGUAGCGAGAUGUGGGUGAGAAUCCCACAGGCCGUAAACCCAAGGUUUCCAGGGGAAGGUUCGUCCGCCCUGGGUUAGUCGGGACCUAAGCUGAGGCCGAAAGGCGUAGGUGAUGGACAACAGGUUGAUAUUCCUGUACUACCGAUAACCGUUUGAGAGAAGGGAUGACACAGUAGGAUAAGCUAAGCACACUGUUGGUUAUGUGUGCCCAAGCAUUGAGGCAGUCAAAGUAGGCAAAUCCGCUUUGAUAAUGCUGGGAUGUGAUGGGGAGCGAAAUUUAGUAGCGAAGUAGCUGAUUUCACACUGUCAAGAAAAGUCUCUAUCGA